GAUAUACUCCCUCCAUUUCAAAAUUCUUGUCUUAAGUUUGUCUAGAAAUGAAUGUAUCUAAAUACUAAAUCGUGAGUAGAUACAUUCAUAUUUAGACAAAUAAGACAAGAAUUUUGAGACGGAGGGAGUAUUCA
rfam:Hordeum vulgare subsp. vulgare, WGS project CAJW01000000 data, contig: morex_contig_44660